AGAGUUUGAUCCUGGCUCAGGACGAACGCUGGCGGCGUGCUUAACACAUGCAAGUUGCACGGUACCCGAUGAAUAGCUUGCUAUGAAGCGGGUAUAGUGGCGGACGGGUGAGUAACGCGUGAGGAUCUGUCGUAGGGAGGGGGACAACGUUUGGAAAUUUGGAUUAAUACCGGAUACGCCCUACGGGGGAAAGUGGAGGACCUUCGGGCUUCACGCUAUUAGAUGGGCCUGCGUAAGAUUAGCUAGUUGGUGAGGUAAUGGCUCACCAAGGCAACGAUCUUUAGCUGGUUUGAGAGGAUGAUCAGCCACACUGGGACUGCGCCACGGCCCAGACUCCUACGGGAGGCAGCAGUGGGGAAUAUUGCACAAUGGGCGCAAGCCUGAUGCAGCCAUACCGCGUGUGUGAAGAAGGCUCUAGGGUUGUAAAGCACUUUCAGUAGGGAGGAAAGGUUAUAGUUUAAUACGCUAUAGCUGUGACGUUACCUACAGAAGAAGGACCGGCUAACUCCGUGCCAGCAGCCGCGGUAAUACGGAGGGUCCGAGCGUUAAUCGGAAUUACUGGGCGUAAAGCGUACGCAGGCGGUUUGUUAAGCGAGAUGGGAAAGCCCCGGGCUCAACCUGGGAACUGCAUUUCGAACUGAUAAACUAGAGUUUUGUAGAGGGUGGUAGAAUUUCAGGUGUAGCGGCGAAAUGCCUAGAGAUCUGAAGGAAUACCAGUGGCGAAGGCGGCCACCUGGACAAUAACUGACGCUCAUGUACGAAAGCGUGGGGAGCAAACGGGAUUAGAUACCCCGGUAGUCCACGCCGUAAACGAUGUCUACUCGGAGUUUGGUUCCUUGAGAACUGGGCUCUUAAGCUAACGCAUUAAGUAGACCGCCUGGGGAGUACGGCCGCAAGGUUAAAACUCAAAUGAAUUGACGGGGGCCCGCACAAGCGGUGGAGCAUGUGGUUUAAUUCGAUGCAACGCGAAGAACCUUACCUACUCUUGACAUCCUCAGAAGAGCCCAGAGAUGGGCUUGUGCCUUCGGGAACUGAGAGACAGGUGCUGCAUGGCUGUCGUCAGCUCGUGUUGUGAAAUGUUGGGUUAAGUCCCGCAACGAGCGCAACCCCUAUCCUUAUUUGCCAGCGCGUAAUGGUGGGAACUCUAAGGAGACUGCCGGUGAUAAACCGGAGGAAGGUGGGGACGACGUCAAGUCAUCAUGGCCCUUACGACCUCGGCUACACACGUGCUACAAUGGCAAGUACAGAGGGCAGCAAUACCGCGAGGUGGAGCGAAUCCCACAAAGCUUGUCGUAGUCCGGAUCGGAGUCUGCAACUCGACUCCGUGAAGUCGGAAUCGCUAGUAAUCGUGGAUCAGAAUGCCACGGUGAAUACGUUCCCGGGCCUUGUCCACACCGCCCGU
rnacentral:rRNA from 1 species